rnacentral:lncRNA from 1 species
AUUAAGCUAACGAUCAUAUUUACUUUAGUAAACUCUUAAAAAAAAAACCUAAUUCAAAGUUUGUUUCUGACCAACUACCUCCUUAAUCCCAUAGCACCUGCCAGAAGACAUCCAAUAACCCACUCUUUAGGUCAGAGAAAAACAUACAAAAGAGAAAGCCUUGGCUGGAAUGACUCAUGUUACAAGCCAGCUGCUUUCCAGAAUCCGUUAAGCUGUAGGGUCCAGAUCUCCUUUUGUGGCUUUCUACAGACUUUAUUUGAACAGAGAAAUUACAACAACCCUGCCCACAUAAAAGCCGAGGAAAGAAACUAGUUGGGGGAGAGAGAGUGCCCAAAUUUUUUACUAUACUUUGAAACAAAAUGGCAAGGGUGUUAGCAAGCAUUCUCUUUGCUUUGCAUUAAUAAAUGUUCCUCUGCUUUUGCUCACAAUUGAGAUGAUGAAACUUGGACAUGAUAGAUUCCAUUUGAUAAUCAGUAGAAAUGCUUUUCCUGAGUCAGUUGACUGUCAAGGGCCCUGAAACCUCAUCUGGCAUUUUUGGUUAAUGCAGUUUGACCAUCUAUCUUCCUUGGCUUCCUUUGACCAAUGCCAAGUUGUUAUGAGUUCUUUUCUGUUUCAAUCCAUUGAGGGAUCUACUUAACCCAACACAUGACCAUUUUUUUGACCAGUGAGAAGCAGUGUCUAGGUCAGACAUUGAUUUCCUCCCAAGUGACAACUCGCGAAUCAGUAGUCAUCAUCUCAGUACCUCAGACCUGGGGAAGGACGAGGAUUUUCAGCAGAAGAGUUGCCAAGCCAACUGGUUGUAUGUGCUGUAGCCAGGAAUGGCGGUGAGGCCUGAGAAAGACUCUGUGCAUGUGUGUACAUACAUGUGCGUGUGUGCGCAUGGGUGUGCAUGUGUGUAUGAUGAAUCAAUCAUCUAUUGAUUCCUUUAACAAAUUUUAUUGACCAUCACUUUCUACCUCUCUACCAGGAAGUAUUCCAGAGAUUGAGAGUGGAAAGAAAUCCAAGAUAAAUCAGAUAAAGACAUUCUCAUAAACAAAGCCUGUGCCUUUCUGUGACAAGUAUAGUAGGAAUGCACAAAAUACCUGAAUUGUGAGCGUUUGGGGCCUCUGCUUAUUUAAACAUUAACAUGGGAAAGAUGAUGAAAAGGAGAUGAAUGAGUAGAUUAAAUUUCUAGCAGUGGUUAUCAGCAUCCCCAAAUCUAUGGUAUUGAGUAUAUUUGCCUAAAACUGUUUUCUUAAAGUUUAUGGAGUCAUAAUGCCUUACUAUUGGCCUAAAUGUAGGGAGAAAAAAAGACUUGAAACCAGAACAUGCAAUAUGAUUUUCAUAUGCCCCAAAGCCAGAGUUGAAACAGAUUCCAACUUAAUAUCACCAAGCAAUAUUCAGGCUAUCCCAGACAAUUCUAACAUAGAAUCUCAUUCUUGACAUCAUCUCUUAAUGAAACUCUGUGAACACUCAUGAGAGAUUUCAUCUAGAAUAUUUAUCUGAGAAUGUGGUUUGGCUAACACAGCUUUAGCAUGCUGCUCCUUACGUAUGGGAGCAGCACACGCUCAUAUGCUCAUUUUUUGCAUGUGAGGAAAAUGAAACAUGGGAAUGUUAAACUAAUUUGGCCAUGGUUCACAUUUAGUUAGUGUCAAAUUUUUAAUCCAAUUUGGAAAAUAAGAACCUAGGGAAAGCCAUUCUUGAAGCAUUUAGCUUCUACUUUCUUUUUUAUUUAUUUUAUUUUUUAAAUUAAAGUUUGCUAAUUUACAGUGUUCCUUCCUGUUGCACAGCAAAGUGACCCAAUUACACACAGUUCCCUGUGCUGUACAGUAGGAUGCCAGCGCCCAUUGAUUCCAAAUGUAAUAGUUUGCAUCCACCAACCCCAAACUCCUCAUCCAUCCUACUCCUACCCCCUCCCCUUGCCAACCACAAGUCUGCUCUCCUUGGCUGUGAUCUGUUUCUAUUUUAUAGAUAGGAUCAUUUGUCCUAUAUUUUAGAUUAUUUGUGGGACAAAUGAUCCUAACUAGCUUCCAGGUUUUUUUACUCAGUAAGCUUCAUUCCGUCUAAGUCAGAAGAGCAGUGUGUUUCUGCUGUCGAUGUAGGCUGGAAGCAGAGUUGAGCAGAACCAGCUCUAAUCAGCCCAGGUGGCACUGCAUUUAGUGGAGAGUGUCCAUUGCCCUCCAGCUUGUCUAGACCAAUGGAAGGAUUGGUCUCCCUAAUUUUUUAGUAUUCAGGUCUCUUGUAUGCUGGCAUGUAAAUAUAUCACUUUCCAGGCAUGUAUUAAUACAAUGAAAUGUAAUUAAUGCUAACAUUGCAUUGAUCAGGACAUCAUUUUCCUUGAAGAAUCAGCCCAAGCUUCAUGGUCUUGCACCCCAAAAUCUUAUCACAGUGGUGAACAACACACAGUUGAUUUAUGCAAAAGUGUCACUUCUUCCCUGUGGAUUGACUGCUGGAUGGCAGUGAAGACACUGAGACAGUUUUAUUUCAGUCAUCAGCAUCACAACAAUUUCACAGGGCCAGUCUGGGUUUUUCAAAACAAGUGACCCAGGAGAGAAAUUUACCUUUACAUCGACUUUCACCAACAACUGUUUGUGAGACUUCAAGAAUAAAAUGCAUCAUGGAAAUAAAACGCAUCAUCUACCUAGAGGAGUUGGUCCAGAGUUAAAAGAUGCAGUAGGAUUUCCCUUCUGGUGGAUCGUAUUUCCCUUUGACGCGGUUCUAAAUUCUUUGGGGCCAACAGGGAGACCACCGAUAAUUGCCUGUAAUUCAACACACACACGACCAGCUCUCCAGAAAGCCAAGCAUCAGCUUCUCUAUUACAGUUAGGGGCCUCACAUUUGGGUUUGGUCUUUUCUUUUUCCCCUUGGAUCCAUGGCUCUUUUCAUGCAAGGUCCUGUUUGACAUCCUAAUAUAAGUGUAAUUUCAUCUUUCUCCAGAAACCUUCAUUUUCACGGCCUCUAAUGACCAUUCCAUAAUCAGUGUGGUUAGAGGAACUGAAUUCACCUCUAGGCACCUGUCAUGUUUGUAAUGAAGGAAGAGAAAGUGUAAGUGUUGGAAUAAAUGCUUUUUGAAGCACACCCUAGGCGCACUACUUUUGAAGUUUGAUCUCGAUAGUAAAUAUUCUUGGAGUGCACAUUCAACACAUAUUCUGACAUAGCAAAAUUAGAAAAUCUGCUUAGAAAGAGGUGCACAACCUAAUUUUUCCCCUUUUUAUCUUAAAUGCCUCUUCAGUCUGGCCCUUCCUCAUCUGUUCUCAAGGAAUUCUGCCAGGGCAUAGCUGAGAUAAAUCUGGCUGGAGAUCCCUCCAAAGAUUAUGCUAAACUCACCUUUGUCAUUGAUUCAGCUCAUCCUCAUGCACUGAGCAUCUUUCAAAGGACUGUUGGAAAUUGGGGCUCAUUGUCAUGGGAAGGAAAAGUCAGAAGAUGAAUAACUUAAAUAUUAAAGAAGUCUACCUCUAGUUGGGAAAGGAAAAAUCCACAUAUAUGAUGCUUUCAUGGGACCACUGUGAAUGCGCUAUUAUGGCGCCAUGAGGAAUUAGGAGGUAGAUCAGUUCUAUGGCUGGGAAAACUUUUGGCAAAUGUGGAUUUUUAACUUCACCCUUGAGUUCCAUAGAACUCCCCAAAGCAGAGGAGGCAGUGAAGAUGACUUUGACAACAAGAAGCAGCACAACUUAAAGACUUAGAAGUGAAAGGUACCGGGCAAGUUCAUGUAAAAGAACGUGAUCUAGUGGUGGUGGGAGCAGGGUAAGAGGGAGGAGCAGGGAGAAUAACAGGGAACCAAGCUGGAGCCAUAAAAUGGGGUUGGGCUCUCAGGGCUUUGAAUGUUGGAACGAAGAGCUUGGACACAAUGAAAGGCCAAGAACCUUUUUUAAGUUGAGGUCUGAAAUAGUUCUGGAUUGUAGCAAGACCUUGCCGACGUUGCUUGGAGAAUGUUCAGGAAGGGUUAGAGGAUCCGUUUGAAUGAUGUUGAAACAACAUCAUUAUAUUAUUAUAUUUGUAUCUAUAUUAAUAUGCAUUGUUGAAGAAGAAAAAUGCCUGAGCAGGGAGGUCCCUUCGUGACUCAGCGGUUAACAAACCUGACUAGGAUCCAUGAGGAUGCGAGUUCAAUCCCUGACCUCACUCUGUGGCUUAAGGAUCCGAUGUUGCCAUGAGCUGUGGUAUAGGUCGCAAACGCAGCAGCUUGAUCCUGAGUUGCUGUGGCUGUGAUGUAGGCUGGCAGCUGUAGCUCUGAUUUGACCCUGAGCCUGGGAACCUCCAUAUGCUGUGGGUGUGGCCCUAAAAAGCGGAAAAAAAAAAUGCCUGAACGAGGAUGGUGGUAGUAAUAAUCGAGAAAAGGUGUGACAGGAGUUCCCGUCGUGGCUCAGUGGUUAGCGAAUCCGACUAGGAACCAUGAGGUUGGGGGUUUGAUCCCUGGCCUUGUUCAGUGGGUUAAGGAUCCGGCGUUGCCAUGAGCUGUGAUGUAGAUCACAGACGUGUCUCGGAUCCCAUGUUGUUGUGGCUCUGGCGUAGGCCGGUGACUAUAGCUCCAAUUUGACCCCUAGCCUGGGAAGCUCCAU